ACUAACUUCGCGUCGAUAACUUCAGCAUAUCAUAUUUUGAAAUAACAUUAGGAUAGCAAUCAAUAAACUUGUGUAAAGCCAUAGAGCAUUGUAUCAAUAUUGUCGCAUAUACAUACAUAGGUAUGUAUGCAGGUAAAAGCAAUUAUUCAAAUCAACAUUCAUCAUUAAGUAUUAUCCCCCAUUUGUGUUGGCUUGCGCUCUCGAUCUGGCCUAGCUUGUUCAACAACAUAUUUAACAGAAGCUGAGCAAGAUUGGCGCACUCAACAGUGUGGAGCUAAGCCUAAUCUUGAUGAGCGACACGUCUGGCUGGCGGCCACGCGACCUUAUAAGAGACGCGCGCCCGUCAGCCCGUACAGAAAACUAGUUCACAACAAACACACACACAGCUCCAAAAUGCUUCGUAGUCUGUGCUUUAAGAUCUUGCAGUUUGCCCUGCUCUUCGCCGUGGUCGUCUACCAGAA